GCAGGUUUUAAGGUGGUAAAUGCAGGUUUUAAGGUGGUAAAUGCAGGUUUUAAGGUGAUAAAUGCAGGUUUUAAGGUGAUAAAUGCAGGUUUUAAGGUGGUAAAUGCAGGUUUUAAGGUGGUAAAUGCAGGUUUUAAGGUGAUAAAUGCAGGUUUUAAGGUGGUAAAUGCAGGUUUUAAGGUGAUAAAUGCAGGUUUUAAGGUGGUAAAUGCAGGUUUUAAGGUGGUAAAUGCAGGUUUUAAGGUGAUAAAUGCAGGUUUUAAGGUGGUAAAUGCAGGUUUUAAGGUGGUAAAUGCAGGU